UCAUGUUUUGUUCUGUCAUUCUAAAGGCGUUUUGACAGCACAACUGUGAGCAGACAGAGGAUGUUACUUCUUGACAAAAGAAGUCAAAUACUGUACCUGCCUUGUCUUUUGUAAAAUUGCCAAAAAUAAACACUGGGAGUGACAUCAAGCUGAUUGAGACGGAUCUCGGUAGGGCCGUGCCACUCAGUUCAGGCAGCGGGUUGGUUGUGACAUCCAUGGAGAUCCGGUAACCCAGCUACAAAGUGGUCUUUGCUGUACUCAAGGGGACGCCAUACCUUUCAGCACGACCGAUUUCAAAUGGUGCUAGAAAACCCCAGUCCACUCUGAACACCAGAGGAAAUCAGUCACGCUACAAAAGCAACCAUAUGGCGCCAGAAGACUUCUAAUAUAGUGCAGGAUUCAUAUGGACCAAUGGUACUUGCUUUUUUGUCACCCCCUGGACACCAUUUCAUGUAUGGAAAGAGCAGCAUGAGCAUGACAAACAUCUCCUCAUGUUCAACGUAGAAAAUAAAAUCAGCAAAAUCAACUUUGGAAGAUCAUGAAGUGCAGUACGUAGGUAGCGCAUGUCCUGUGACGUGCUGAGCUCAGGAAUUCCCGUGAGGAGCAUUAGAGAGAAGAGCGUGACAAGAAGGCGAGACUGAGACCGGAGGGACAGAUAGGCAUUGAUACAGCCCAACAGGUAUGCCUCCAGGAUAACUGCCAUACGCUGGCGGAAAAAUGGACAUCCUGCCACCUCACUCCGCAAAUACCAGAAAAAGAAGUGUCCGAUCCGUCUGCUCUGUGUUCCAGGAAAUGGCGACAGUACAUAGAGUUAUCCUUUUUCAGGAGCUCAAGAGCCACAAACAACUCUAUGUCCUCUGGCUCCCAGUGACUCAACAGCCAGUAGACAUCCUGGACCGCAGAUGGCAUCAUCCAGUCGACGUUGCGCAAAAACUGGGGUAAAUUUGAGGCAUAGUGGAC